rnacentral:rRNA from 1 species
UACGUAGGUGGCAAGCGUUUGUCCGGAUUUACUGGGCGUAAAGAGCGCGCAGGCGGUCGUUCAAGUCGCGUGUGAAAGCCCCCGGCUCAACUGGGGAGGGUCACGCGAUACUGAUCGACUCGAAGGCAGGAGAGGGUAGUGGAAUUCCCGGUGUAGCGGUGAAAUGCGCAGAUAUCAGGAGGAACACCGGUGGCGAAGGCGGAUCUCUGGGCCAGUUACUGACGCUGAGGAGCGAAAGCGUGGGGAGCGAACAGG